UCGUUUAAAGCCAUUACGUCAGCAUCCUUAACGAAUUCAUUCACACUCUAACCUAUUCAUAGCAAAUCCAAACAAAGUCAGCAAGCUGUCAUCAUCUGGACGCGAAUAAGAGAUCAGGGGAACUGCCCUAAAGGUAUUCGUUGCAAACCUCAAUCCCAAUCGCCACAUUACGCCAAGGUUAUAACACUCCCGAAGGAGCUACAUCCCCCCAACCUUUUUAUGACAAUCGAAAUUGAGCUGACCAGCAAA
rnacentral:rRNA from 1 species